UACGUAGGGGGCAAGCGUUGUCCGGAUUUAUUGGGCGUAAAGAGCGUGUGGGCGGCUAGGUAGGUCCGUUGUGAAAACUCGAGGCUCAACCUCGAGACGUCGAUGGAAACCAUCUAGCUAGAGUCCGGAAGAGGAGAGUGGAAUUCCUGGUGUAGCGGUGAAAUGCGCAGAUAUCGGGAAGAACACCCGUGGCGAAGGCGGUUCUCUGGGACGGUACUGACGCUGAGACGCGAAAGCGUGGGGAGCGAACAGG
rnacentral:rRNA from 1 species